GGUUAAGCGACUAAGCGUACACGGUGGAUGCCCUGGCAGUCAGAGGCGAUGAAGGACGUGCUAAUCUGCGAAAAGCGUCGGUAAGGUGAUAUGAACCGUUAUAGCCGGCGAUGUCCGAAUGGGGAAACCCAGUGCAAUUCGUUGCACUAUCGUUAACUGAAUACAUAGGUUAACGAGGCGAACCGGGGGAACUGAAACAUCUAAGUACCCCGAGGAAAAGAAAUCAACCGAGAUUCCCCCAGUAGCGGCGAGCGAACGGGGAGCAGCCCAGAGUCUGAAUCAGCUUGUGUGUUAGUGGAACGGUCUGGAAAGUCCGACGGUACAGGGUGAUAGUCCCGUACACCAAAAUGCACAGGUUGUGAACUCGAAGAGUAGGGCGGGACACGUGGUAUCCUGUCUGAAUAUGGGGGGACCAUCCUCCAAGGCUAAAUACUCCUGACUGACCGAUAGUGAACCAGUACCGUGAGGGAAAGGCGAAAAGAACCCCGGCGAGGGGAGUGAAAAAGAACCUGAAACCGUGUACGUACAAGCAGUGGGAGCACCUUCGGGUGUGACUGCGUACCUUUUGUAUAAUGGGUCAGCGACUUAUAUUCUGUAGCAAGGUUAACCGUAUAGGGGAGCCGCAGGGAAACCGAGUCUUAACUGGGCGUUAAGUUGCAGGGUAUAGACCCGAAACCCGGUGAUCUAGCCAUGGGCAGGUUGAAGGUUGGGUAACACUAACUGGAGGACCGAACCGACUAAUGUUGAAAAAUUAGCGGAUGACUUGUGGCUGGGGGUGAAAGGCCAAUCAAACCGGGAGAUAGCUGGUUCUCCCCGAAAGCUAUUUAGGUAGCGCCUCGUGAACUCAUCUUCGGGGGUAGAGCACUGUUUCGGCUAGGGGGUCAUCCCGACUUACCAACCCGAUGCAAACUACGAAUACCGAAGAAUGUUAUCACGGGAGACACACGGCGGGUGCUAACGUCCGUCGUGAAGAGGGAAACAACCCAGACCGCCAGCUAAGGUCCCAAAGUCAUGGUUAAGUGGGAAACGAUGUGGGAAGGCACAGACAGCCAGGAUGUUGGCUUAGAAGCAGCCAUCAUUUAAAGAAAGCGUAAUAGCUCACUGGUCGAGUCGGCCUGCGCGGAAGAUGUAACGGGGCUAAACCAUGCACCGAAGCUGCGGCAGCGACACUAUGUGUUGUUGGGUAGGGGAGCGUUCUGUAAGCCUGCGAAGGUGACCUGUGAGGGUUGCUGGAGGUAUCAGAAGUGCGAAUGCUGACAUAAGUAACGAUAAAGCGGGUGAAAAGCCCGCUCGCCGGAAGACCAAGGGUUCCUGUCCAACGUUAAUCGGGGCAGGGUGAGUCGACCCCUAAGGCGAGGCCGAAAGGCGUAGUCGAUGGGAAACAGGUUAAUAUUCCUGUACUUGGUGUUACUGCGAAGGGGGGACGGAGAAGGCUAUGUUAGCCGGGCGACGGUUGUCCCGGUUUAAGCAUGUAGGCUGGUUAUCCAGGCAAAUCCGGAUAAUCAAGGCUGAGGUGUGAUGACGAGGCACUACGGUGCUGAAGUAACAAAUGCCCUGCUUCCAGGAAAAGCCUCUAAGCAUCAGGUAACAUCAAAUCGUACCCCAAACCGACACAGGUGGUCAGGUAGAGAAUACCAAGGCGCUUGAGAGAACUCGGGUGAAGGAACUAGGCAAAAUGGUGCCGUAACUUCGGGAGAAGGCACGCUGGUGUGUAGGUGAAGUCCCUGCGGAUGGAGCUGAGACCAGUCGAAGAUACCAGCUGGCUGCAACUGUUUAUUAAAAACACAGCACUGUGCAAACACGAAAGUGGACGUAUACGGUGUGACGCCUGCCCGGUGCCGGAAGGUUAAUUGAUGGGGUUAUCCGUAAGGAGAAGCUCUUGAUCGAAGCCCCGGUAAACGGCGGCCGUAACUAUAACGGUCCUAAGGUAGCGAAAUUCCUUGUCGGGUAAGUUCCGACCUGCACGAAUGGCGUAAUGAUGGCCAGGCUGUCUCCACCCGAGACUCAGUGAAAUUGAACUCGCUGUGAAGAUGCAGUGUACCCGCGGCAAGACGGAAAGACCCCGUGAACCUUUACUAUAGCUUGACACUGAACAUUGAGCCUUGAUGUGUAGGAUAGGUGGGAGGCUUUGAAGCGUGGACGCCAGUCUGCGUGGAGCCAACCUUGAAAUACCACCCUUUAAUGUUUGAUGUUCUAACGUUGGCCCCUUAUCGGGGUUGCGGACAGUGUCUGGUGGGUAGUUUGACUGGGGCGGUCUCCUCCCAAAGCGUAACGGAGGAGCACGAAGGUUAGCUAAUCCUGGUCGGACAUCAGGAGGUUAGUGCAAUGGCAUAAGCUAGCUUGACUGCGAGCGUGACGGCGCGAGCAGGUGCGAAAGCAGGUCAUAGUGAUCCGGUGGUUCUGAAUGGAAGGGCCAUCGCUCAACGGAUAAAAGGUACUCCGGGGAUAACAGGCUGAUACCGCCCAAGAGUUCAUAUCGACGGCGGUGUUUGGCACCUCGAUGUCGGCUCAUCACAUCCUGGGGCUGAAGUAGGUCCCAAGGGUAUGGCUGUUCGCCAUUUAAAGUGGUACGCGAGCUGGGUUUAGAACGUCGUGAGACAGUUCGGUCCCUAUCUGCCGUGGGCGCUGGAGAAUUGAGGGGGGCUGCUCCUAGUACGAGAGGACCGGAGUGGACGCAUCACUGGUGUUCGGGUUGUCAUGCCAAUGGCACUGCCCGGUAGCUAAAUGCGGAAGAGAUAAGUGCUGAAAGCAUCUAAGCACGAAACUUGCCCCGAGAUGAGUUCUCCCUGAGACUUUAAGUCUCCUGAAGGAACGUUAAAGACGAUGACGUUGAUAGGCCGGGUGUGUAAGCGCAGCGAUGCGUUGAGCUAACCGGUACUAAUGAACCGUGAGGCUUAACCUU
rnacentral:rRNA from 1 species